UUCUCUGAAGCUCAGGGGCAGAGCACUGGUCUUGUAAGGUAGGGGUCGUGAGUUCAAUCCUCACAGGAGGCA